rnacentral:rRNA from 1 species
UCAGUCGACUCCUACGGGGAGGCAGCAGUGGGGAAUAUUGCACAAUGGGGGAAACCCUGAUGCAGCCAUGCCGCGUGUGUGAAGAAGGACCUUCGGGUUGUAAAGCACUUUCAGUAGGGAGGAAGGUAGUGUAGUUAACACCUGCAUUAUUUGACGUUACCUACAGAAGAGGCACCGGCUAACUCCGUGCCAGCAGCCGCGGUAAUACGGAGGGUGCGAGCGUUAAUCGGAAUUACUGGGCGUAAAGCGCAUGCAGGCGGCCUGUUAAGUCAGAUGUGAAAGCCCGGGGCUUAACCUCGGAAUUGCAUUUGAAACUGGCAGGCUAGAGUCUUGUAGAGGGGGGUAGGAAUUUCAGGUGUAGCGGUGAAAUGCGUAGAGAUCUGAAGGAAUACCAGUGGCGAAGGCGGCCCCCUGGACAAAGACUGACGCUCAGAUGCGAAAGCGUGGGGAGCAAACAGGAUUAGAUACCCUGGUAG